UACGUAGGGCGCAAGCGUUAUCCGGAAUUAUUGGGCGUAAAGAGCUCGUAGGCGGUUUGUCGCGUCUGCCGUGAAAGUCCGGGGCUCAACUCCGGAUCUGCGGUGGGUACGGGCAGACUAGAGUAAUGUAGGGGAGACUGGAAUUCCUGGUGUAGCGGUGAAAUGCGCAGAUAUCAGGAGGAACACCGGUGGCGAAGGCGCCACUCUGGGCCGAAACUGACGCUGAGGAGCGAAAGCGUGGGUAGCAAACAGG
rnacentral:rRNA from 1 species